rnacentral:lncRNA from 1 species
CUCACCCCGCAGUGUCACUGACACUAUGCUUCAUAUUUACUUGUUUGUUGACCGUCCCCUCCCUGUCUGCUUCCUGAGGCAGUGACUUUGCUCAUCCUCGUCACCGCUGUAUUCCCAGGGCCCAGUUGGGUGCCCAGCAGACGGUGGAUGCUCAGGAAAUAGCGGGGGGAUACAUUUUGCAGAAGGGGAAGCAGGCUCAGAGGGAGGGCGAUUUGCCCGAGAUUACACGGAGAAGAGAAGGCAGGACAGGGACUGGGGGAGGGACUGGGGCAGGGUCUGCGGCCCCGAGGCAGCUCUUCCCGGGGUUCCGGCCCCGUUGCUCAUCUGGACCGCCGGACCUGCACCGGAGCCGGCGCCCGGCUGGGUCCCACGGGGCCGGGACGGCGCGGCGACCCGGGAGCGGCCGGCAGAGGGCGCUGUCGACGCGCGUCCCCGGGAGGGAGGCGCGGGCCCGGGAGGCGAGGCCGCGGCGGGGCUGUAGGAGCCCGUGGGAGGCCUUCACCGGCCUGGGGACGGGUGCGGAGGGCGGCAGGCUUCCCGGGAGAUGACUUGUUGACCGCACCCCGAAGGGUGCAGUGCCAGGAGCAAUAGCAGCCAUCUUGCAAACAAGAGGAAAAAGCCAAGAGAAUUGCAGAGACACCAGCCCUGACAUCAUUUGCCUGGAAAAACAAUGCCAGCCAUAGCUGAUCUCCAAGCUCACCGUGAUAGGGGAAAAUAAACUCUUUGUCAAGCCACUGUGA